CCUUAUUUCUUGUUCCGGAUAGUCCUUGCUACCGAUCGUUGGGGUUUUUUUAGUGCAGGGGGAUUUUGGAGAGGUCGCUUGUGCCCACUCUGCGCUCUCAGCUUGGCUAGAAGAGCCAUUCAAGGAUCAAUAUGGAUUUUGGCUCAUGUUUUCUGUGCACUACUUCCAAACCAGCGAUGGGAGAGCACUGAAUUCAGAGUAAAUGGAAGUGUGAUGGAAAGGAAGACAACCCACUCCACCUGGAAAAGCCGCCUAGAUUUCCCAGUAGUGAUGUAUGGAAGUGAGAGCUGGACCAUAAAGAAGGCUGAUCGCUGAAGAAUUGAUGCUUUUGAAUUAUGGUGCUGGAGGAGAAUCUUGAGAGUCCCAUGGACUGCAAGAAGAUCAAACCUCUCCAUUCUGAAGGAAAUCAGUCCUGAGUGCUCACUGGAAGGACAGAUCGUGAAGCUGAGGCUCCAAUACUUUGGCCACCUCAUGAGAAGAGAAGACUCCCUGGAAAAGACCCUGAUGUUGGGAAAGAUUGAGGGCACAAGGAGAAAGGGACGACAGAGGACGAGAUGGUUGGAUAGUGUUCUCGAAGCUACAAACAUGAGUCUGACCAAACUGCGGGAGGCAGUGGAAGACAGGAGUGCCUGGCGUGCUCUGGUCCAGGGGGUCACGAAGAGUCGGACACGACUAAAUGACUAAACAACAACAAAGCCGCCUAGAUCAUGGUUCUAGCUAUGGAAAGGUAGCAUAUAAAUAAGAUGAUGAUGAUGAUAUACACAGGCCUCUAAUGCAAAUGAAUUGCAGAAGGAAGCUGGAUCUCAGUGGAAAGUUGGAGGGGAGAUUUUUUGGGGGUGCAGAUUUUGCCAGCAUUCCACAGAUCCUUACUGCUAUUCUUGCUGCCAAGUCGUAAUUCCCCAUCAUGCAGGGAAGAAGACGACCGACGAGUUUCACACAUACUCCUCCGACUCCUGCUCCCCACUCGAAAUAAAAUACAAAAGAGGGGUGCUUUCUCCCCCUCCUUGUUCUGAUGUAACCCCCACCUCUCAAAUUUUUGCAGAACAUUCAGAAUUUCAAACGUUGGCGCAACAAUGUCCCAAACUUCCUGCUUCUCAGUACUGAGCC